rnacentral:rRNA from 1 species
UACGUAGGCAGCAAGCGUUGUUCGGAGUUACUGGGCGUAAAGGGUGUGUAGGCGGUUAUUUAAGUUUGGUGUGAAAUCUCCCGGCUUAACUGGGAGGGUGCGCCGAAAACUGGAAGGCUUGAGUAUGGGAGAGGUAAGCGGAAUUCCUGGUGUAGCGGUGAAAUGCGUAGAUAUCAGGAGGAACACCUGCGGUGUAGACGGCUUACUGGACCAUAACUGACGCUGAGGCACGAAAGCGUGGGUAGCAAACAGG